GCUGCCGUAGCUCAGUGGUAGAGCACUCCCUUGGUAAGGGAGAGGUCGAGAGUUCAAUCCUCUCCGGCAGCACCA
rnacentral:tRNA from 17 species